rnacentral:lncRNA from 1 species
UUGACAUACAAGAGUCUGCUGCAUGCAGAGCAUAUGUUGGUUGGUGCAUUUGUAUAUGUAUCCGUGAUACUUGGUGAUUUUCCUCAUGGCCAGUUUUGGUAUGAUUUUGGCCUGUGAAUCUGCUUAUUACUCGGUUUAAUAUCGGUCAUGUUCCUUGAGCGAAUAAUGAUGCCACAGAUUAAGUUUAUGCCCAUCUCAGCUCUCAUAAUUUGUCUGUUGAAUAUGUAACGAAGUAUACAUUCACUUCCAUGUUACUUGAUUUUGUUAGAUGGUUUCUUUUUGGAAUAUAUUGCUACUUAGAGGAUUGAUGUUUUAAUGGUUAUCAUGGCGUUUUUAGAUGAAAUUACUGGCAGCUGUUUAAUGCACUAUUAGAAACAUUAUAUCCAUUCGCCAUGAUCGGUAAAUUCUAAUUCAUCCGGCAAAUGAUGAAAUGUAUGGCCGAAUAUCUGUAGUCUCUCGGGGUUGAACCCUAAAUCUCCCACUUUUU